rnacentral:rRNA from 1 species
GAUGAACGCUGGCGGCAUGCCUAAUACAUGCAAGUCGAACGAACGGAAGAUGAGCUUGCUCAUUGGAAGUUAGUGGCGAACGGGUGAGUAACACGUAGGGAAUCUACCCAUGUGCCUGGGACAACAGAUGGAAACGUCUGCUAAAACCGGAUAGGUAAGAAAGAGGCAUCUCAAUCUUAUUAAAGGGGCUACGGCUCUGAACAUGGAUGAUCCUGCGGUGCAUUAGUUAGUUGGUGAGGUAACGGCUCACCAAGACGAUGAUGCAUAGCCGACCUGAGAGGGUGAACGGCCACAUUGGGACUGAGACACGGCCCAAACUCCUACGGGAGGCAGCAGUAGGGAAUUUUCGUCAAUGGGGGGAACCCUGAACGAGCAAUGCCGCGUGUGUGAAGAAGGCCUUCGGGUCGUAAAGCACUGUUGUAAGAGAGGAACGUUGGGUAUAGGGAAUGAUAUCCAAGUGACAGUAUCUUACCAGAAAGCCACGGCUAACUACGUGCCAGCAGCCGCGGUAAUACGUAGGUGGCGAGCGUUAUCCGGAAUCAUUGGGCGUAAAGGGUGCGUAGGCGGCACGUUAAGUCUGAGGUAAAAGACUGCAGCUCAACUGUAGUAAGCCUUGGAAACUGACGAGCUAGAGUGCAGGAGAGGACAGUGGAAUUCCAUGUGUAGCGGUAAAAUGCGUAGAUAUAUGGAGGAACACCAGUGGCGAAGGCGGCUGUCUGGCCUGUAACUGACGCUGAGGCACGAAAGCGUGGGGGAGCAAAUAGGAUUAGAUACCCUAGUAGUCCACGCCGUAAACGAUGAGAACUAAGUGUUGGGGAAACUCAGUGCUGCAGUUAACGCAAUAAGUUCUCCGCCUGGGGAGUAUGCACGCAAGUGUGAAACUCAAAGGAAUUGACGGGGGCCCGCACAAGCGGUGGAGUAUGUGGUUUAAUUCGACGCAACGCGAAGAACCUUACCAAGCCUUGACAUACCCAGCGAAGGCCUAGAGAUAGGUUGGAGGAUAACUGGGAUACAGGUGGUGCAUAGUUGUCGUCAGCUCGUGUCGUGAGAUGUUGGGUUAAGUCCCGCAACGAGCGCAACCCUUGUCUUAUGUUACCAAUAUUAAGUUAGGGACUCAUAAGAGACUGCCGGUGACAAACCGGAGGAAGGUGGGGAUGACGUCAAAUCAUCAUGCCCCUUAUGGCUUGGGCUACACACGUACUACAAUGGCAGUUACAAAGAGCAGCGACACAGUGAUGUGAAGCGAAUCUCAUAAAGGCUGUCUCAGUUCGGAUUGAAGUCUGCAACUCGACUUCAUGAAGUCGGAAUCGCUAGUAAUCGCGAAUCAGCAUGUCGCGGUGAAUACGUUCUCGGGCCU